rnacentral:rRNA from 1 species
CCCUUAGAUGUUCUGGGCUGCACGCGCGCUACACUGAAGCUAUCAACACGUUUUCCCUCCCUGAGAAGGGCGGGUAACCUUUUGAAUCAGCUUCGUGGUAGGGAUCGGGGCUUGCAAUUGUUCCCCGUGAACCAGGAAUUCCUAGUAGACGCGAGUCAUAAGCUCGCAUCGUUUAAGUCCCUGCCCUUUGUACACACCGCCCGUCGCUACUACCGAUUGAACGUUUUAGUGAGGCAUUUGGACCGACGCAUCUCAGUUUAACCGCUGGUUUGUGUUGGAAAGACUUCCAAACUUGAGCGUUUAGAGGAAGUAAAAGUCGUAACA